CAGACCCAUCAAGGCACAACUGCCUGCACCAGAGCAGAUCACGGAACCGCUCCUUGUUACCUUGCUCCGCGUACCCUCCCGGCGUACCCUCUCGAUGUGCUGUAAAUGUUCAUUAACUAUCCUGUACCCACCAAGCCCACAGCCACGUGGACCCCCGCACGUAAUGCACUUGAUGGACUGCGACUAGCCUGAUUCUGUGCCAGACUUAGCUCCACCAGGGAACAGAAACCCUGCACACUGGCUUUGCUUCUAGCUCUGCUGAAUCCCCAGCUUCACCUCUUCCAGGCUGGAUUAAGGGAAACGGGACUUUUGAAACUGAGACACCAACAGCCAGUGG